ACUUUCGUUUAUUAAUUUUUUGAAUAAGUUGUCACAAAAAUUGAUACAAUUAACGAACAGUUAGUUGCUCAGAAAUGUCCAAAAGUACCCUGAAAUGAUAUAGAAGUUCAUCAAAGUUUUAAACAAACAUUCAAGACUUUGUCAUUGGUGCUAAAGAAUCAGCACCAAAAAGACUGAGCUUCUUCACCGUAGAAGGCGUAUUAUUAACACAAACCAACUAUAACAAUAGGAGACAUGAUUUUUGUAUAUUCUAGAAGGUAAACGUCACUUUGGAUCCAAACCUUCUCUUGUAGGAACACGUGGUUAUCUUGUAUUCAAAUCUACAUGGAGUCUUUCAUCGAAAAUUUCUCACUGGAUAUACACUUCGAUAUUUAAAUGUCUUCUUAUAUACGAUGCCAUCACCUGAAGACUACUGACACAGCGGAGGACUCUAGGCUUGAAAAAUGACACACAACAAAAUCAUCACAGAUGCUAUAAAAGCUAUAACUGCCAAAUUGGUGUACUUAGACUUAUGUUUAGUGUAAAAAAGUCUUACAUGACCUGGUGAGUGAUGGAUGGAAACACCUGGUAUGAAACAAUCUGAGACAAACAAUCAUCUGGUGGCUGGUCUUUCAACCGGACACGGACACGGACACAUAUGACAAGGUUAUAGUUUUCUUGUCCUUGUCAUAUGUUUUGAACAUUGCAAGUAUGAGAUGGAGAUUGCAUCUUAGAUAACCGUGUCUUCUAUACAUUCCGCACUGACUUUAGAAGUUUUAAAGGAAGUGUCUGAUUAGCUUUUCCAGGACUUAUGCCUUUGGUAGUUCUAAGAGGGGCAUUACCGCCCCCUCCCAUAACCAUAAACUAUGAAACAAAUAGGAUAAGACCAGGCCAAAAGUUUGGAGCACUAUUAACAAAGUCAAGCAAUGUUAGUAACUUAACAUCCAGUUUACCAACAAUUGACUCCACAUUAGGUCUUUUUCCAAAAGUCGACGACUUGUUUAGAGGUCCCAGCCACAUAUUAGCUAACUACAACUUAUGGUGGAGCAACCACCUCUUGAUAAUUGUUUGUUUUGCCCCCUUCUCGGUCAAAGUAGCAAUCCAUGUACGAUCUAAUUAAUAACACUUCCUCAGUCAAAGUAUGUGGUCUAAGUAUUAAUCAGAAAUGCUACGAGACUAAGCGAUCACAAAAUGUGUCCCUUUUAGGGUCCUAAAUUUAUCAUUACAAAAGUUUUUUCAGUAUUUUUAACUCUCCAAUGGAACACUAGAAAAACAACGUUUAUAAAUUGGAUAAUAAAGACACUAGGGAAAAUAAUUACAAACUCUAAUAUCUGGGACAUUCAGUCCACCUUUUCAAAUUACCAUUGAAUCAGUUGUUUAUUAUUAAGUUAUUUAUUAAUUGUGCUAACGCUGAAAUGUAGGUUAAUAAAUGAUAUUCAGUUCAUUGUUAAAAAACAUUUACGUGCUUUAAAAUCAAAACAAAAUUACUAUCAGGUGCGAUAAAAGAGAAUUAAUAAAAAAGGACAUAUCUUCGAUGAAAACUUUUACUGUUUUCUGUCAAAAAAUGUCCUAAAACAAGUACAUAAUAACGAUAAAAUGAUCGGGGUGAAGGUGAUGUAUCUUUCAUACGUCAUAAAAUGAAUCUUUGAAUAAAUAUUUGGUAUCCGCACAUCUGUAAAGUUAAAAAUGUGUUUUUUUUAUUAUCAUAACACAAAGUGGAAUUGAAUAUUGUUAGAUAUAACAUUGUUUAAAAUAAAAAACCUACUAAAAAGUCCCACGCUGUCAUGUGAAAGGCUUUAAAUGUUCAUGAAAAUGCACUCAUUUACGUAUAAUUGGAAAAAUGUCAUGUUUUCCUCACGUACAUGGGAGCGAUCAAUUUUUGAUGUAGUUUCUCUUCAUUUUUGAUCUCAAAUAGACGGUGUUUUUUAGAUCUUAACAUCCCACGUGAACGAAAAAGUAUUUGGUCGUCUUGCAUCUCUUCUUCAACUUCAAACUAAUUCUGAUCAAUAUAUUUCUUUUAACUUUGCGCCCAGUUAAAGUUUAACGAAUCACAGACGCCCUGAGCAAAAUGGUUAAGACAAUUAUCGUUCAACGUUUAAUCGUACCACGAUUAUCGUUAAACGAUCCUUAGAUCCAGCAAAACGUACCUUGGCAACAUGCCAGCAGCAUCUGACUUUAUCACUGCUUUCAUUUUCAUAGCUUUUGUGCCUCUCCUUGCCAAGUCGUUGACAAAAUUACUCAACCCGUAAGAGUAGACACUAGUGCAGUUCCCAUGGCAAAAAAUCAAGAAUUAGGCUUCGAAAGUGCUCCCUCAUCCACCCUAUGUUCCGGAUUCAGCUUUAAGUGACUUUUGUUAUGAAAUAUGAUACCAGAAUAUGCCUCCAUGGUAGCAACCAAAGAAGGAAAGUGAACCGAAGACCAAGAGUGCGAGUUGCAGAUUGCUACUUUGAAGAGCGGAGUCCUUAUGGAGGUGGCUCCUGCAUGAUCUGAGGCGCAAUUUCUAAAGGGGCACGUACCUGUGUUAGUUCACGGAAAAAGAGGUUUAACUACUAACAAAUAUAUCGUCGACUACAUGUAUGACAAAUCCGAUACAACAUUUAUAAAAAACAAUAGGUAAUUUGAUUAGAUCUAAGCAUAAUUUUAUCAGAGGCCAAGAGGAGGUCAUACCCAUUAUUAAAAAAUUAAGUGUUGGUUUUAAAUUGUCAAUAUCCCUAUUUAUAUUAUUAAUUUCACUAUGUUAAACAUGGGAAGUCGUAAUAAGUUUUUAUAAAUUUAUACUAACAUUGAAACAUAUUAAAUUGUCUUUCAAACGGCAUAUUUUUUCUUUAAUCUGAUCAAUAAUUUAAAAAAAAAUAUAUAUGUAUAUAGUUAAAGUCAAAAGUUUACAGUGGGACCUUUUUUUUUCACGCAAAUAUAUUUUCAUUUUCCCAUC